rnacentral:tRNA from 1 species
GGCUCUGUAGUGAAGUUCAUAAUGAGUUGCAAGCUCGUUGAUGUGCAUUAAUUAUGCGCCGGAGUCU